rnacentral:rRNA from 1 species
GACGAACGCUGGCGGCGUGCUUAACACAUGCAAGUCGAACGGUAAGGCCCUUCGGGGUACACGAGUGGCGAACGGGUGAGUAACACGUGGGUGAUCUGCCCUGCACUUCGGGAUAAGCCUGGGAAACUGGGUCUAAUACCGGAUAGGACUCCUGGCUUCACGGUGUGUGGUGGAAAGCUUUUGCGGUGUGGGAUGGGCCCGCGGCCUAUCAGCUUGUUGGUGGGGUAAUGGCCUACCAAGGCGACGACGGGUAGCCGGCCUGAGAGGGUGACCGGCCAGACAGGGACGGGGAGACGGCCCAUGUUCCUAAGGGAGGCAGCAGUGAGGAAUAUUGAACAAUGGGCGAAAGCCUGGUGCAGGGCCGCCGAGUGAGGGAUGACGGCCUUCGGGUUGUAAACCUCUUGCAGUAGGGACGAAGCGCAAGUGACGGUACCUACAGAAGAAGGACCGGCCAACUACGUGCCAGCAGCCGCCGUAA